rnacentral:misc_RNA from 1 species
AACGCACCUUGCGCUCCUUGGUAUUCCGAGGAGCAUGCCUGUUUGAGUGUCAUUAAAUUCUCAACCCAUCCAACUUGUAAUAAAGUCGGUAUGUGGCUUGGAUAUGGGGGUUUUGCAGGCCUUUGUUGGUCAGCUCCUCUAAAAUGUAUUAGCGGAACGGUUUGCGAUCUGUCACUGGUGUGAUAAUUAUCUACGCCUAAGACUAUAGAAAGCUCUCUGUCUGUUCAGCUUCUAACAGUCCCUUGUGGACAACUUUAUUGAAAGUUUGACCUCAAAUCAGGUAGGAUUACCCGCUGAACUUAA